UACCAGCUCUCCGAGUGGUAGGGAUGAUUAUUGGGCUUAAAGCGUCCGUAGCCGGCUUAGCAAGUUUCCUGUUAAAUUCAGCGACCUAAUCGUUGAGCCGCGGGAAAUACUACUAGGCUAGGAGGCGGGAGAGGUCGACGGUACUUCUGGGGUAGGGGUGAAAUCCUAUAAUCCCGGGAGGACCACCAGUGGCGAAGGCUGUCGACUAGAACGCGCUCGACGGUGAGGGACGAAAGCUGGGGGAGCGAACCGGAUUAGAUACCCGGGUAGUCCCAGCUGUAAGCGAUGCGGGCUAGGUGUUGGGGUGGCUACGUGCCACUUCAGUGCCGCAGGGAAGCCAUUAAGCCCGCCGCCUGGGGAGUACGGCCGCAAGGCUGAACCUAAAGGAAUUGGCGGGGGAGCACCACAAGGCGUGAAGCUUGCGGUUC
rnacentral:rRNA from 1 species